rnacentral:lncRNA from 1 species
UUUCACUAUAUAUAUAAGCUCAAUGACAUACAAAUAACAAACACAAUAAACAUAAAAUAGAAACCAUAAAAAUCAUAAAAACUUUGAUGCCUAAACUACAACUUCAAGAGGUUUUGGGCUUCUUGACUAACAAGACCAGACAUUUGACGUUUUGCACAGAGAGAUUGCUCACACUCCCAAGAAAUGCCUGUCAAUUUCAAUGCAAUUUUCAUAAUUCAUAAACAUAGAUAAUCAUCUAUAAUCGUUAAUAGAAACACUGACAUCUUAGUGAAACGGUAUCCAUGGAUGCCUAACACCACCAUGUGCCAUUUGUGCCAUCUCUAAUAUUAAUCACAACAAAAAUCUACCCGAUUUCAACAACAAAAUUAAACAUCAAGAACAUUUUUAGAUUUUCAAGCAAACACAAACACAUAUUUUCAUAUUUUCAGCACAAACACAUAAUUUUAGAUUUUUAAGCAAACACAAACACAUUUGUUACUUUUCAGAUUUUAAAUACAAAUAGAGAAGCAAGAACAAAGUAGAGAAAAUUCAUUUCCACAAACCAUAAAAAAAAUCGAGGAGCAAGAACACAUAUCAAACACCAAUUUCAUACAAAUUCAGCAUAACAGGUUUUAGGGCCUGAAAUAAUCGACCAAAAAGAUAGGACCUGAAAAAAUGACCAAAAAGACUAGAGCAGAAAACUUAGCAUUGAACAGGGAAGCGACGAGGGGUGAGGCGAAGAAGGCGGAUGUGUAGUGGCGAAGGUGGAGUGGCGCUGCCGGAGGCUGGCAAAGGGAAGGUGUAGUCGCUCGAGAAGAAGGAGAAAAAAAAAGUGGCCGCCGUGUUUUUAUGUUAGGGCAAGGGUAGUGUGCAGAACUUUUUCAUCCAGAUUCCUCCUUAUGUAUUACAGAUCCAAAUCAUUUUUGCAACAUUUGACCGAUUAAGAGGGUAAAAACCAUUCAACCAAACGUUGAACAACCCAGAACCAGCCUCUUAAUGGAAUAUUAAGAGGCAAAAUAAAUAGCCCCUAAGUUUGUCACUUUCAACAACAAAAGCAUUACUCAGUCUCAU